rnacentral:lncRNA from 1 species
AAAGCAUACCUGGCUUUGCAGCACAUUUCCAAGUGGAGUCAAAAUGAUUUCCAAGUAUGUGAAUAAAUAAGAACUAAAAAAAAAAUCAUUUUGCAAACAGUUUAAAUGACAUUAUAAGGACAAGGUGGAGUUUGACACACACAAUGAACCACCCUUUGCCUCAAAUACCCCCAAACCCAGGUAAAUCGUGGAGGUUAUUUUGCCCUUUUGUCUCUUCCUUCCUGUUUAGACUUGUCCUGCUGGAAGAAAAACCAUGCAGUUUGAAACACAUACCCUUUUGCUCAAAUCCCUCGCUGCAGAGCACAGAGCCGGCAUAAGUGCUCAGUGGCCAGUCCUUGAAAUCCCAUUAAAUGGUAACGCUUAAAAACUUGUCCAUGMAGAAGAAAAAGGAAUCGCAAAAAGACACGUGGAUUUGGAAGAAGCAUAGGGGGGUUGGUGGUACAGCAUUUGUCGGAGAAGUUUAGGAUGUAAUUGCUUCCACCCCUCCUGUCCCAAAAACCUAACAAAGGAUAUAAGGGCUUUGAAAAAUCCUUGCAAAUAGGAGCCGGCGGUAAUUUUUAGAGGCAUGCAGGAAUUUUCCAUGUGCAUUUUAAAAUGCUUCCUUCUGUUAGCGUUUUGAGAGUCAGCCGGCUUGUCCGACUUUAAUCCUUGCUCACCCUAUAGAGGAAGCUAGCAACUUUUACUACGAAGCAGUGUCCCUAUUGGUCCUGCGCCCAGAUUUACUUGGGGGACACUGGCCUGUGUGCUAGCCAGAACAGCUGCUUGCCCGACAGCUGCCAAGCAGGAACAGGGGCACCAUGUUUGGUCCUUCUUGGCAAAGAGGGGAAGAAGCCAUAUUUAGCGUACGGAUCGGCAUUUGCAAGAACCGCGAGGCUCUUUGUUGCGAAAUUAUACUUUUCCGACACAGACCGCUUGCCUGGUCACCUCAGCUUCCCGAGCGGGAAUUGCUAGCUUGGGUGCUGCGAUCGCUGCUUUGUGCGGACUAUGCCACAUCUCCUUAGUGGGAGAGCUACUUCUUGCGGCCAUCUCCCUGGCAGAUGAACAAAACAGAAUUACCGUGCCUGGGGCCUGGGGGAAGGCAAGCUUUUAUAUACGCGCGAGAGUUUUACACUUAGAGUUUGUAAAUCCAAGCAUACAGCACUGCAGAGCUCCUGGGCAGGAUGAUCCCACAAAAGUCCCAGUGUCAGUCACUGGCCCCGCUCAGGGCACAUCGCUGUCUUCACCAUGCUGUCACGGCUUGCUCUUCCUUGCAGCCUGGCCCGAGGACCGUGCAGCCCUUCCACUCGGCAGCCUCCUGGAGCUUUCCAGCUUGGGCAAGGUGCUUCGGUUUCAAAGCAUCACGAGCAAGAAAUGAGCAGUGAAAUUGCAGCCAAAUGGUGGGGGCUGGCAGCAGGAAGAUGAACUAGGCACAGGGAUGAGCUGUAAUAUCACACAG